rnacentral:lncRNA from 1 species
AUCGUUGUGCAACUCAGGAGGAUCUGGUCAGUGCUCAGUCAGCUCACUUUCUGCUCCCACUAGCAGGUAGCCCGCAGUUUGGCCAAGGAUGACUGUCAGGAAGAAGCCACAAUUCUCAGAACCAUGUGAAAAGGACAAGGAGCUGGUGACAUUGUAUCACAGAAUAGAAGAUAGCAGCUGAGGACAACAAGCAACAAUCAACAUGGGGUGAAGUUUGAAAGGAAAGAAUGCAGCAGUACUGAAUGGAUUCUGCAAAGGCCCUGUAAUGUUCCCAGUAUAUUACACAUAAGUCAAUUUAUAAUUCUUCCUGACCCCCAUGUUACUUCUUCAUGAACUCUGUGGUGUUCCUCAGGUGAUGGGAAAGGUGAUGCUUUUGCAGGAGCCUGCACAGCAGCAAGCAGCUGAGAAUUCACAGGAAGGACUCCUUUGGACAAUUCACGGAGGUCAGGAAAUCCAUGAGAGUGUUUUGAUGAGCGGUUUGUAAUGGUACACUUAGUAAGCUGUAGAGCAAAAAUGUUAACUCCAGCAGGAUUAAAAUAAACUGAGUUUGAGAAGAUGGGUGUUCUUAACC